UUUAUUUAUAUUGAAUAGAGCAUUAACACAGUUAGUCUUUACUUGACUCUGCUAAUAAAUAGUUAGAUGGCCGUAAGCGCUUUUUUCCGUCCCGUGUAAUACGUAUGCGCUCCAACCACAUAAGGACGAGUGUAUUCAAAAUAGACAUUUACUUAUGCAGUAUACUUUUUCUGGACUAAUAGUAAUAUCUUCACUUAUUGCGUUUAAAUAGCAACAAAAGAGUAUAUCAGGUUACAGUUUGCUGUACUUAAUAGACUUUUCAAGUGCUUCAAAGUUGUUGCGAAAAUAAAAAAAUAUAUCCGAACUAAAUGGCAGUGGGCCUUGGCGGUACGCCAUUGCAUGGCGCGGCGGAUGGUAUUUGUCAGUGAUACUUAGAUUUUUGCGCAUUUAUAUCAGCGCGAAGAUUUUGUGUGAAGCAAAUGCCAAGUAUCUGUAAAUAAAAAUUAUAAAUUACAAUAAUUAUGUUAUAUUGCUAUAGUUAUAUGGAUUUAAAAAUAAGUAAAUUAUUUGUCAAAAAGAUAAUUGCAAUUAAAUAAAACAAACCUGUACAAAAA